UCGUUGCGCUUCUUGGAAUGGUCCAGAACUGUAGGAGACUGUUGAGAUCUCUAUCUCGCAAGGGGAAGCCCCCUGUCUCACUGUCCACCACGUACCAACAGCAGUCGAGCACAGCACUCUACAACCCAAUUCAGGGCGUUGCUCGCGUUGGGAACUAGAAUCAACGGUCGUAAAUCAACCCGUGAGAUUCCACUGACGGCCACUGUUUGGCCUCCUUCCACCCCUACUGCAGUUUAGUAGUACGGGGAAUACUGGACCCGAUGUGUGCACGAUGUUACCUACCAUGUUUCCCGACGUUCUGGCGCUCCAGUUCGGUUAGGGUAUUUUGGUAAGAGUCAAGCCUAACAUCCGACGUUGAGCGGAUGUACUUCGACCUUAGCGAUCAUUAGCGCCUAGUCGUACGGCGCCACUUAUGCAAGGGCCCGGAACAUGUGUGGCGGGCAGUGUGGUGCUCUCAAACAUUGGUGGGCUUCAG
rnacentral:rRNA from 1 species